AGCGGCGGACGGGUGAGUAACGCGUGGGUAACCUGCCUCAUACAGGGGGAUAAUAGUUGGAAACGGCUGCUAAUACCGCAUAAGCGCACAGUACCGCAUGGUACCGUGUGAAAAACUCCGGUGGUAUGAGAUGGACCCGCGUCUGAUUAGGUAGUUGGUGGGGUAACGGCCUACCAAGCCGACGAUCAGUAGCCGACCUGAGAGGGUGACCGGCCACAUUGGGACUGAGACAUGGCCCAA
rnacentral:rRNA from 1 species